UAGGGAAUCUUCCGCAAUGGACGAAAGUCUGACGGAGCAACGCCGCGUGAGUGAAGAAGGAUUUCGGUUCGUAAACUCUGUUGUUAGGGAAGAAAAAAUGUAUAGUAACUAUAUACAAAAGAGACGGUACCUAACCAGAAAGCCACGGCUAACUACGUGCCAGCAGCCGCGGUAAUACGUAGGUGGCAAGCGUUGUCCGGAAUUAUUGUGCGUAAAGCGCGCGCAGGUGGUUUAGAAAGUCUGAUGUGAAAGCCCACGGCUCAACCGUGGAGGGUCAUUGGAAACUAAUAAACUUGAGUGCAGGAGAGAAAAGUGGAAUUCCUAGUGUAGCGGUGAAAUGCGUAGAGAUUAGGAGGAACACCGGUGGCGAAAGCGGCUUUUUGGCCUGCAACUGACACUGAGGCGCGAAAGCGUGGGGAGCAAACAGGA
rnacentral:rRNA from 1 species